rnacentral:rRNA from 1 species
GACAGCAGCAGCCGCGGGAAUACGUAGGUCCCGAGCGUUGUCCGGAUUUAUUGGGCGUAAAGCGAGCGCAGGCGGUUUGAUAAGUCUGAAGUUAAAGGCUGUGGCUCAACCAUAGUUCGCUUUGGAAACUGUCAAACUUGAGUGCAGAAGGGGAGAGUGGAAUUCCAUGUGUAGCGGUGAAAUGCGUAGAUAUAUGGAGGAACACCGGUGGCGAAAGCGGCUCUCUGGUCUGUAACUGACGCUGAGGCUCGAAAGCGUGGGGAGCGAACAGGAUUAGAUACCCGCGUAGUCCCUGUCUCUUAUACA